UACGUAGGUGGCAAGCGUUGUCCGGAAUUAUUGGGCGUAAAGCGCGCGCAGGCGGUCCUUUAAGUCUGAUGUGAAAGCCCACGGCUCAACCGUGGAGGGUCAUUGGAAACUGGGGGACUUGAGUACAGAAGAGAAGAGUGGAAUUCCACGUGUAGCGGUGAAAUGCGUAGAGAUGUGGAGGAACACCAGUGGCGAAGGCGACUCUUUGGUCUGUAACUGACGCUGAGGCACGAAAGUGUGGGGAUCAAACAGG
rnacentral:rRNA from 1 species